rnacentral:rRNA from 1 species
UACGUAGGGGGCAAGCGUUGUCCGGAAUCAUUGGGCGUAAAGCGCGUGUAGGCGGUUCGGUAAGUCGGCUGUGAAAGUCCAGGGCUCAACCCUGGGAUGCCGGUCGAUACUGCCGGACUAGAGUUCGGAAGAGGCGAGUGGAAUUCCCGGUGUAGCGGUAAAAUGCGCAGAUAUCGGGAGGAACACCAAUGGCGAAGGCAGCUCGCUGGGACGUUACUGACGCUGAGACGCGAAAGCGUGGGGAGCAAACAGG